rnacentral:lncRNA from 10 species
CAAGUCCAUUGUUUGUUUGAAUGGCGUAGGCAACAGAGCUGAGACAACUUUGAUGGAUAAGAGAUGAGAAAGUUGAACCUUGAGUGGUUCCCUUGCUUGCCCACGAACCUGCAGCUCGAGAGACUGCGAAGCCUGAUUCAAACCCGAAAGGCCUGUCUCUGCAGCCAGCUCUUCAUCUCUGCACUGGACAACCCGCCUCUCUGAAGGAAGCACGGUUGCUUCAACAGUUUGUAGCCAAGCAAAGAGUCUGUGAAGGGAAUCCAGUUUUUCUAUUUUGAAAUCAAGUUGGAUUUCACUGGAAGAAUUCCUGGGCACUGGGUCUAAUAAAAAU